rnacentral:rRNA from 1 species
GACGAAGGGGGCUAGCGUUGUUCGGAAUUACUGGGCGUAAAGCGCGUGUAGGCGGUUGUUCAAGUCAGGUGUGAAAGCCUUGAGCUCAACUCAAGAAAUGCACUUGAUACUGGGUAACUAGAGGACCGGAGAGGAUAGUGGAAUUCCCAGUGUAGUGGUGAAAUACGUAGAGAUUGGGAAGAACACCAGUGGCGAAGGCGGCUAUCUGGACGGUUUCUGACGCUAAGACGCGAAAGCGUGGGGAGCAAACAGG